AACUUUCUGUACUGGAUAAUCAGUGAUCCAGAAAGUGUAAAACACUCCCAUCCUGGUGAACCGUUUUAUUGGUUCCAGUUCAUAAGGUUCUAAACUACACCAAUCCUCAAUCUCCUAGAGAAACAGGAGUUUAAUGUCUUUGAAUGGGUUUAAUAUCAAUCAGUUUAUUCACUGCCUAUGUCAAAGUUGUAGAGAAGGCUUCCCAGAAAAAAUCUUGAAGAGUUUGGAAGGAAAAAAAAAAUCCUUCCUUGGCUUUUCAAAAUUAAGGGGAGGUGGAGAGGAAAAAGAAGGGUUUUCAAGUAUGCAAAGCUGGAGGAGGAGGGAAAAAGUAAGACAAAACAUUCAAAGGAUAAGGAAGAAAAUGGGACAGUAUAAGAGAUGGCAGGAAGAUAAGGAAGAUAAGCAUAUCACGAAAGAACUAAUGGAAGUGAUCUGUACCCUCAAACAACUCUACACUUGUAAAGCUCUUGCAGAAGCCUUGGCUUCCAACUUGUCCUAAAUCUCAGUGGCUUCCUACAGGCAACUGCCUCAGGAUGAUCACCUGCUGAUACUCACCGCAGACAGGCAGAACUGUGCCUUCUACAGCCUUGGAAAGCAGCUCAAGCCAACAAUAUAAAGAGUCUCUGCCUCUCUCAUCCAGGAUGGAGUGCAGUGGCACUAUCACAGCUCACUGUAGACUCGAACUUGUGGGUUCAAGUGAUCCUUCCACCUCAGCCUCCCGAGUAAAUGAGAAUACAGGCAUGUGCCACCAGGCAUGGCUAAUUUUUGUUUUAAUAUUUUGUAGAGACAGUCUGACUAUGUUGCCCAGGCUGGUCUCGAACUCCUGACCUCAAGGGAUCCCCCCGCCCCAGCCUCAUGGGCCACCGUUCCCGGCCUAUCCCUGCAUUUUAAAGAUAAGGAAACAACUCACAGACAUGACCUGCUCAAGUGCAGAGUUGGGAUUUCUUUGACCCAUGCAGCGUGACUUUAGCAUUUAUGUUCCCAAUACACUGCACUACCUUUCCUUAUUUUUAUUUUUUUUGAGACGGAGCAUUACUCUGUUGCCCAGGCUGUAGUGCAGUGGCACGACAUCAGCUCACUGCAACCUCUGCUUCCUGAGUUCAAGGAAUUCUCCUGCCUCAGCCUCCUGAGUAGCUGGGAUUACAGGCGUACACCACCAGGUCUGGCUGAUUUUUGUAUUUUUAGUAGAGACGGUGUUUUACCAUGUUUGGCCAAGCUGGUCUUGAAUUCCUGACCUCAAGUGAUCCGCCCACCUCAGCCUCCCAAAGUCCUGGGAUUACAGGCAUGAGCGACCAUGCUCGGCUGCUACACUACCUUUCUACAUGAGACCAAUCUGAUCAAACAUGUAAAAUCAGCUGCCCCAUGGUACAAAUAAACUUUCCUCUAUUAACCACUGGGGACUCUAGUUAACUUCAGUAAUAAUAGUGUCAGGAGUAAAUAAUAAACAGUAAUACAUCACUUAAUGGCAGAAAUAGGUUCUGAGAAAUGUCAUUAUUUCCUUACAUGAACACCAUAGAGUGUACUUACACAAACUUAAAUGGUAUAGCCUAUUGCUCCCAGGCUACAAACCUGUACACCAUUUCUCUGUACUAAAUACUGUAGGCCAGCGGUUCUCAACCUUUUUGGCA
rnacentral:lncRNA from 10 species